GUUGGAAACCCAUGAUGGCGAGGGUUGUGCAAUGCGGGAGGGACUGACUCACUCCCUCUAGGAGGACCCACCACUCCAGACGAAGCACAAACCUUUAUCGACUCUUCUCUAGGAUGCCGGUGGUGCCGGGAUGGGAAUCAUGCAUCUUGUGGUCUCCAGACACAGCUGAGCUAGAAUGGAAUACCCUACAGGCACCAUGAUGAAUCCUGAAUGGGAUCAGCAAGGAAAUAAGCAGGGACACCAAGGAUGAGGCACAUGCUGGCACUCGCCCAGCCACCUCGAACCCUGCAGAGUGCCUGCAAUUCUCCACCUUCUUCCUCAUACCCACCACUAGCCAGGCCGCUCAACUCGGCCUCCUGGCCUGGCUCCCUGUGUUACCGUGGGUCCCUGAGGGGAUGUCCAGGCAGGAACUCGAAGCAGCUACUCCCAGCCCAUCCACAGUCAAGAGCAAAGAAAGAAAAUAAACACCCUGCCUCACUG